GAACUGCUGAGGAAUCCUACAAUAGGACGAAACGGUCGUCCAGUGC
rnacentral:hammerhead_ribozyme from 1 species